rnacentral:misc_RNA from 1 species
GAUGAAGAACGCAGCGAAAUGCGAUAAUUAAUGUGAAUUGCAGAAUUCCGUGAAUCAUCGAGUCUUUGAACGCACAUUGCGCCUCAUGGCAUUCCGUGAGGCAUGCCCAUCUCAGCGUUAGAAAAUAUUCUCAAAUUUUAGUUUUGUGCUAAAAUUUGGAUCAUGUCAAGGAAGCUAUUACUAUUAUUGUGAUUGCUCUUUGGAAAUUGAUAGGCCUUUGAGUUGCUACUCAUAGAACGUGAUGAAUCUUUCUUCGUUCUAUUGUAAUUCACUCUGGUAGUCCUAAAAGUUGUAUGCCUGUGGCAUAUCUUGUAAUUUGACCUGAGAUUGGGUAGGGAUACCCGCUGAACUUAAGCAUAUCAAUAAGCGGAGGA